CACACUAUCAUUAACUGAAUCCAUAGGUUAAUGAGGCGAACCGGGGGAACUGAAACAUCUAAGUACCCCGAGGAAAAGAAAUCAACCGAGAUUCCCCCAGUAGCGGCGAGCGAACGGGGAGCAGCCCAGAGCCUGAAUCAGUGUGUGUGUUAGUGGAAGCGUCUGGAAAGGCGCGCGAUACAGGGUGACAGCCCCGUACACAAAAAUGCACAUGCUGUGAGCUCGAUGAGUAGGGCGGGACACGUGGUAUCCUGUCUGAAUAUGGGGGGACCAUCCUCCAAGGCUAAAUACUCCUGACUGACCGAUAGUGAACCAGUACCGUGAGGGAAAGGCGAAAAGAACCCCGGCGAGGGGAGUGAAAAAGAACCUGAAACCGUGUACGUACAAGCAGUGGGAGCACAGAGCAAUCUGUGUGACUGCGUACCUUUUGUAUAAUGGGUCAGCGACUUAUAUUCUGUAGCAAGGUUAACCGAAUAGGGGAGCCGAAGGGAAACCGAGUCUUAACUGGGCGUUAAGUUGCAGGGUAUAGACCCGAAACCCGGUGAUCUAGCCAUGGGCAGGUUGAAGGUUGGGUAACACUAACUGGAGGACCGAACCGACUAAUGUUGAAAAAUUAGCGGAUGACUUGUGGCUGGGGGUGAAAGGCCAAUCAAACCGGGAGAUAGCUGGUUCUCCCCGAAAGCUAUUUAGGUAGCGCCUCGUGAAUUCAUCUCCGGGGGUAGAGCACUGUUUCGGCAAGGGGGUCAUCCCGACUUACCAACCCGAUGCAAACUGCGAAUACCGGAGAAUGUUAUCACGGGAGACACACGGCGGGUGCUAACGUCCGUCGUGAAGAGGGAAACAACCCAGACCGCCAGCUAAGGUCCCAAAGUCAUGGUUAAGUGGGAAACGAUGUGGGAAGGCCCAGACAGCCAGGAUGUUGGCUUAGAAGCAGCCAUCAUUUAAAGAAAGCGUAAUAGCUCACUGGUCGAGUCGGCCUGCGCGGAAGAUGUAACGGGGCUAAACCAUGCACCGAAGCUGCGGCAGCGACGCUGAUGCGUUGUUGGGUAGGGGAGCGUUCUGUAAGCCUG
rnacentral:rRNA from 1 species